AUUGAACGCUGGCGGCAUGCCUUACACAUGCAAGUCGAACGGUAACAGGUCCUCGGAUGCUGACGAGUGGCGAACGGGUGAGUAAUACAUCGGAACGUGCCUAGUAGUGGGGGAUAACUACUCGAAAGAGUGGCUAAUACCGCAUGAGAUCUACGGAUGAAAGCAGGGGAUCGCAAGACCUUGUGCUACUAGAGCGGCCGAUGGCAGAUUAGGUAGUUGGUGGGAUAAAAGCUUACCAAGCCGACGAUCUGUAGCUGGUCUGAGAGGGCGAUCAGCCACACUGGGACUGAGACUCGGCCCAGACUCCUACGGGAGGCAGCAGUGGGGAAUUUUGGACAAUGGGCGCAAGCCUGAUCCAGCAAUGCCGCGUGCAGGAUGAAGGCCUUCGGGUUGUAAACUGCUUUUGUACGGAACGAAAAGCCCUGGGUUAAUACCCUGGGGUCAUGACGGUACCGUAAGAAUAAGCACCGGCUAACUACGUGCCAGCCGCCGCAGUAACAC
rnacentral:rRNA from 1 species